rnacentral:rRNA from 1 species
GACGAACGCUGGCGGCGUGCUUAACACAUGCAAGUCGAACGCUGAAGCUCAGCUUUUGUUGGGUGGAUGAGUGGCGAACGGGUGAGUAACACGUGAGUAACCUGCCUCCUUCUUUGGGAUAACGCCCGGAAACGGGUGCUAAUACUGGAUAUUCACUGGUCUUCGCAUGGGGGUUGGUGGAAAGGGUUUUUCUGGUGGGGGAUGGGCUCGCGGCCUAUCGGCUUGUUGGUGGGGUGAUGGCCUACCAAGGCUUUGACGGGUAGCCGGCCUGAGAGGGUGCCCGGUCACAUUGGGACUGAGAUACGGCCCAGACUCCUACGGGAGGCAGCAGUGGGGAAUAUUGCACAAUGGGCGCAAGCCUGAUGCAGCGACGCCGCGUGAGGGAUGGAGGCCUUCGGGUUGUGAACCUCUUUCGCUCAUGGUCAAGCCGCAACAAUGGUUGUGGUGAGGGUAGUGGGUAAAGAAGCGCCGGCUAACUACGUG